GGGGGCGUAGCUCAAUUGGCAGAGCGCCUGCUUUGCAAGCAGGAGGUUUCCGGUUCGAUUCCGGACGUCUCCA
rnacentral:tRNA from 1 species